rnacentral:rRNA from 1 species
GAGAGUUUGAUCCUGGCUCAGGACGAACGCUGGCGGCACGCUUAACACAUGCAAGUCGAACGAGAGAAGAGGAGCUUGCUUUUCUGAUCUAGUGGCGGACGGGUGAGUAACACGUGAGCAAUCUGCCUUUCAGAGGGGGAUACCGAUUGGAAACGAUCGUUAAUACCGCAUAAUAUAAUUGAACCGCAUGAUUUGAUUAUCAAAGAUUUAUCGCUGAAAGAUGAGCUCGCGUCUGAUUAGCUAGUUGGUAAGGUAACGGCUUACCAAGGCGACGAUCAGUAGCCGGACUGAGAGGUUGAUCGGCCACAUUGGGACUGAGACACGGCCCAGACUCCUACGGGAGGCAGCAGUGGGGAAUAUUGCACAAUGGAGGAAACUCUGAUGCAGCGAUGCCGCGUGAGGGAAGAAGGUUUUAGGAUUGUAAACCUCUGUCUUCAGGGACGAAAAAUGACGGUACCUGAGGAGGAAGCUCCGGCUAACUACGUGCCAGCAGCCGCGGUAAUACGUAGGGAGCGAGCGUUGUCCGGAAUUACUGGGUGUAAAGGGAGCGUAGGCGGGAUCGCAAGUCAGAUGUGAAAACUAUGGGCUUAACCCAUAAACUGCAUUUGAAACUGUGGUUCUUGAGUGAAGUAGAGGUAAGCGGAAUUCCUAGUGUAGCGGUGAAAUGCGUAGAUAUUAGGAGGAACAUCAGUGGCGAAGGCGGCUUACUGGGCUUUAACUGACGCUGAGGCUCGAAAGCGUGGGGAGCAAACAGGAUUAGAUACCCUGGUAGUCCACGCCGUAAACGAUGAUUACUAGGUGUGGGGGGACUGACCCCUUCCGUGCCGCAGCAAACGCAAUAAGUAAUCCACCUGGGGAGUACGACCGCAAGGUUGAAACUCAAAGGAAUUGACGGGGGCCCGCACAAGCAGUGGAGUAUGUGGAUUAAUUCGAAGCAACGCGAAGAACCUUACCAGGUCUUGACAUCGUAUGCAUAGCUCAGAGAUGAGUGAAAUCUCUUCGGAGACAUAUAGACAGGUGGUGCAUGGUUGUCGUCAGCUCGUGUCGUGAGAUGUUGGGUUAAGUCCCGCAACGAGCGCAACCCUUACUGUUAGUUGCUACGCAAGAGCACUCUAGCAGGACUGCCGUUGACAAAACGGAGGAAGGUGGGGAUGACGUCAAAUCAUCAUGCCCCUUAUGACCUGGGCCUCACACGUACUACAAUGGCUGUAAACAGAGGGAUGCAAAGCCGCGAGGUGGAGCGAACCCCUAAAAGCAGUCUUAGUUCGGAUUGUAGGCUGCAACCCGCCUACAUGAAGUCGGAAUUGCUAGUAAUCGCAGAUCAGCAUGCUGCGGUGAAUACGUUCCCGGGCCUUGUACACACCGCCCGUCACGCCAUGGGAGUCGGUAACACCCGAAGCCUGUAGUCUAACCGCAAGGAGGACGCAGUCGAAGGUGGGAUUGAUGACUGGGGUGAAGUCGUAACAAGGUAGCCG